GCGGAGAUAGCUAAGCCUGGCCCACGGCGCCGGUCUUGAAAACCGGUGGCAUCUGCCUCGGGAGUUCGAAUCUCCCUCUCCGCG
rnacentral:tRNA from 1 species